UGCUAUGAAUGUGUUGCUUUUUAGAAUGAUAACAAUAAAUUGUAUAAAUUUCAAAACACGUGCCACAGUUGCUCUCCGACUUUGUCAGUGAUCAAGGGCACCAUGUCACUCCCUCACCUCCGCACGCGAUGACAGUUACUCAGUCUUGCUCUCGUGUGCACCACAGUCGACUCUCAGCUCUCUGGGAGGGGGAAGGUUGGAGGUGGGCCCUAUAGUAUGUAACUGUGCUCCGAGCUGGAUUUGGUAACGCUGUGGCCACCGGGAUCUCCAAGGGGGCCCCGUUCAAUCUGCCUUCAUAGCUUAGUCGUACCAUAGUCUCCUUCUACCGCCGGCCCCGGACAUCCACACUGGGUUUGCUCGCACAGCAGCGUGCCGCCGCAGUUGGCUCAUGCCUGUACCGCUGCCGUUGCUGCCUGCCUUGUCGGCUACUCAGUUUCGCCAUCCUGUUAAGGGGAGUGAGGAGGAGAAGAAACGAGAGGAAGCAAGACCUUGUGAAGAGGAUGGGUGCAAACGGCGUGGAGAGUGAAGACACCAGGACAGAGGCCGGUGCGGGAGCGAGGAGGCUGGGUCAGAUCACCAACGAACCGGGACCCGACUCGAACCCACCACACCCGUACCCGAAGCCAAAGCCGGACCCGUACCCGAAGUCAAAGCGGACCCGAAGCUAAAGUCACCGAACCUGUACCCGAAUCCAAAGCCAGAUCCGGACUCUAACCCGAAGCCCUAGCAUGAAGCCACCGCAUGAAGCCGCCGCCCCGCAUCCCAGGUGGCUGGUCGAUCUACGGGCGGGGUGGUCGAGGAAGUGUCACGUUACGCCCCUUGCCCUGAAUGUACGACAACUCUUCACUAAGGUAAGACACUCCUGCCACACGCACCUCGCUCCUCCUACCCACCUUUUUUCUUCAGUCAAGGGCGUAGUGAGAAGAGGAAGUGGGAUAGAGGAGAACGUAUAUGUGGAGGAAAAUGAAAGACAGUAAGGUUGAUAUUAUAAGACAUUCUCGCUUCUCACAUCACCUAUUUCUAAAGGUCAAAGAGGGGGUCAAUCGGGUUGUAAUGAGUGUUUCUUCAGGUUCACGGUACAGAAGAAGACUCACA